CAGCUUCAAGAGAAUUUUUCUUUUCUUCAUGGGGAGGCUGAAGAAUCAGAACUGUCAUACCAAAGAAUGAAAAGCAAGCCUAGGGAGAACAAGACAGUCUGAUGUUUACAUGGGGUUAACUUAUUUGAUCAGUGAAAUCAGAAAAGGAUCAUUCUGCAUUCGUGGACUCCUCUCAUUGACACACUCGCUUACCCAUCUGAAAACAGCAACACAGUCUGGGUUCCUGAUUUGUAUCUAUUACCCUUCAUGGAAAUGGCUGGUGAAGCAAAACUAUGUGUGUAAAACUGCAUCUGCCACAGGCUGCUUGUCCACAAAAGCAGCAAAGCAUCUCUAUGGAAUACCUCCGUAUGGAUCUGUAAAGAAGAGUCCCACUUCAAUCAAAGACAGCAGAUUAUGAGGUGAAGAACUGACCAGCGAUGAUCGGCCAGAAGACUGUGGCGUUUCAAAAUCAGAUGAGUAAGAAUAAUGGUGUUUGCCUGCCUUUCUUUCUUGAUCAGUACCUGGACUUCCUGCUCUUUCCCCCAUUGUUUUGAAAAAUGGUCUCUAUUCACAUAAUUUCACAGAUUAUUUUCUCCAGAGGAGACUACGACAAUACUGAAAAACAUUUUCACAGUCUUCAGAUCCUGAUAAUAUUCAUUUCUGUGCAAUCUAUUUUCUC
rnacentral:lncRNA from 1 species